GAUUUCGUAGCUCAUUGGUAGAGUGCAUGCUCUGUGUGAAUGAUGUCCUGGGUUCAACCCCAAGCUUCUCCCGAGGUCG